GAUGAUGAGAGCAGCUGCCCGCGGCGAGCGUAUAAAAAACUCCUGUUUAACGCACGCGGCGGUUUCCAAUUUCUCGCGACGCACUGCCUCCGCCGCAACCCUCCCGGCGACGCGGGGAUUUCCGUUCCCGCGCCGCCCCGGCGACCUGUAGACGUCCGCGCCGGGCCCCUGUUCUCGCCCUCCUGUCGCCCCGGCGAGACCCUGCGCCGCCGGCGAGACCCUCCCCGUCCUGUUCCGACCCGGCGAGCUGCAGACCUCCUCACCCCUCCUGCCGCCCAAAUUAGAGUCUCCCACCGGCGCGCCGCAUCCUCGCAACGCAGAUCUUCAGAGGUAAGGUACCCCCCUCCCGCCGGCUCCGGCGAGACCCUGUGCCGCCGGCGACCCUCCUGCCGACGCUCCUCGCGACGCAGCGCCGGUCUCCGCAAUAGCCUGUCGAGGCUAGGACGCCGGCGGCGCAAGGUUCUGCGCUUAUUAUUUGCGCCGGCAGCAUCCGUAUGAGCUCUGGAUUUGCUCGCGUACGCCAUUCUUGGACGAAUUGUUGGUGAUUCCCCUGCCGGCGCAAGCUCUCACGUGCAUCCCGUGGCUGCGGUGUCCUCCUCUCUCUCCUCGGCGCUGUGUGAAGAUUCCUCCACUGCGCAAGGUGCCCCAAUCAUAUUCCCUCUUCGAUCCUCCGUGAUUUUGCUUCAUUCCCGUGGUAGGUGUGGACGAUUUGUCCAAGCAAUAGCUCCUUUUAGGUGGCUGCAUAUUUAAUUUCUCAUCAUUUUGCUGGAACGGAGUAGCUCAGGACCUCAGGUCCUCCUUCGCCUUGCCACAUCACACCAGCGUUGAACACCACAAGGGAGAACCUGAUGCCCAGGUCCAAAUUAUUGUUUAUUUUUUUAUCUGGAAAUAAUCUGCUACUUGAUAUGGGAAAGUAUGUGAUUCUGGUGUCAUGCGGCAACAUUGGUUGCUGACAGCGUUGAUUUGUCUAUUGAUUUAUCUGAGAGGGAUGGUGUGAUUUGGUCAUUAAAUUAUUGGUCAAGGGGCAUAACUACAGAUUUAUAUGGUGAUUAGCCUGAAUCUCUUUGCUGUUUAUGAACCAAUUUCUAACUGGAACUCUACUUUCAGAAACUGGCUAUAAGAAUUAAUCUUUAUCCUACCAAACAUAUACUGGGUAACCUUGCAGUAUCUUAAAGAUUGAUCGUGGUUGACAUUUGUGGAUGAAAGGGACUCAGGUUUAGCAAAUAUAUGUUUUCUUAAGAUUAUCUUAAAAAUUGAUUAUAGUUUGCAAAAGAAGAUUAUAGCUGCUUUUUUGGAGAGUUUCACUGUUGACCUCCGUGGAUCUAUGCACCUCUCAUAUGUAUUCAAUAUUGCCAAUGAAUUUCUGUUAUUGCCAAUUAGUAACGCUGAUUAGAAAAUAUGCUGCCGGAGGCAGGCUGAACCUUUAUUCAAAUGAUACAUCAUGCUUCGUCCUUACAGUUGUCGCUGCUUUCCUGUAGCCAUCCAACUAAUCAUUUUAUUAUCAAUAUGAAUGGAAGCAUACCCUUCAUUUCCUGAGUUAGCUCUAGAAACGGAGAUUUUUUCUUUUUGACAAGGGUACAUGCAGUUUUGAGCUCUUUUGUAACAUUGGAGACUAUUUGGGAACUUUGCACUGCUCAUUUUCUCACAAAAACUGAUGCAGAGGUGAGCUUACUUGAUUAGUAAAGCCAGCUUGUGUUUAUAACUUUAUAUAUAUCCAUACAAAAGAUACUGAAUUGAAUUCCCAGAUCUAUACAGCAUGCCAGUGUAUUAUUAGCUUGUCUUUACCUAUGCUCCAUAUCAAUCCAUCACUGUUGUUUCUCAAAUGUUGGAAAUACUCAUUGGUGUAGAGAUAAUAUUUUUUCCUUUUGAAUCAGGAUGUGCUGCAGGUGCCAGGACCAUGGAGAUGAGGACCUUGAACAGCUGGUGUAUGAUUACAGAGCUGGUAUAUGAUUACGGAGACGAGCUUUGCGCAAAAGAGAUAUGAAAGAUAUUAUGGAUGGCUGCAAGUUGUGGAGGAAGUCGCACUCUAUAGGCCAUGAGUCCUCAAAUUUCGGUGAUUUCAUAAGGACCGACAUGUUGAGGAGCUAACUUUCCUCUCACUCCAAACCUUUGCACACUCUUGGUUGGUGAAACCUGAAGAUUACCAAGUCUGGUCCAAAUAUUUUACGUUCUUCGGUUUGGGACCAACUCAAAGGAGUUUGACAUCUUCGACCAUACAAGGCCUUAAGCGGUGAAUAGAGAACUUGGAAAGAUGUGCCUCGUCAAGAAUUUGUUUUUGGAGCUCAUGAUUCUUUGAAACCACUAUGCGAGAUUCAAACCAUGGAAUUCCAUUCUUGUCUUGACGAAAACAUUUAUAUUUCUCUUCCUCUUGGGAAAGCUUUUGCUUGAUGAUCUUUACUCCCUUAUAUUUUAUUUGGGCCAUGAUGAUUUGAUUGUGAAGGGUUGGUUCAACAUUUGAAGUGCAUUGGAGAAUCAUUUCCAGAUUAAGCUUCCCCAUCUCAUGACAGUGUUUCAUUAUAGAAUUUUACGGUUAAGCAAUGAUCAGCUCGGGUGAAGAUAUAUUUGAGACUUUUAUGAUCAGUGUAGAUAUUGCAAUGAGUGUCCAUAAGAUAGUGUCUCCGUAUCUUUAGAACAUGAAUGAUAGUUGCUAGCUCGAGAUUAUUUGUUGGAUAAUUCUGUUCAUGAGGUCGAAGAGCUCGUGAAGCGUAGGCAAUGACUCGGUUAUCUUGCAUAAGCACAUAACCAAGACCAGUGCCGGAUGCGUCACAAUAAACAUCGAAUGGCUUGGUGUUAUCGGAUUGAGCCAAGACUGGGGCUGUAGUCAAGUGUUCACGAAGAGUGUGGAAA